UGUUCCCAGGACUGAAUGUUCUGUAACACUUGAGGUCAGCAAUGCAAGUCAUGCUCGUGGUAUCUAAACCAAGGAGCUCUUUUGGGGUUCCUCAGCUGUGGCACAAAGCAAGACCCAUGCACAGAUGAGACUCCUUCCGGCCUGGAUAGCUUUUCUGAACCUUGGGAACCCAAUUCGCCAUGAAUCCUAGGCUUCUGUUUAUCCUCACUGCUUACCUUUCUUUGCAUUCCAAGAUUUCCCUGGAGUCUCAGGAAAGGAAAUGCUUUCUGGAGUCCUGUUGAUUCACAGAAAUCUGAAGAGGCAUGGAAUUUUAAUCGUGGAUUAGUUGGUGAAAACAACUCAAACAACGCAAAAUAAAACAAAUCAAGAAAAUCCCCCCAAAACAGAAAAGUUACCCUCUUAACAAAUAUUGAAGUGUUGUAGAAUCCAGAGUUAUAGAUGAGAUAAGAUAAAUACAUUGUUUAAUAGCAGAUCUCUAGAACUUUUAUGUCUUGGUGUGACUGAAACUUUACACCCACUAACAUGCAACACUCUGGAGUUUUUGAUACUCCAUGGUUGCCAGCACCUAAUAAGACAUAUUAGUCACAAGAGAAUGCAACAUUUAACAAAAUGAAUAGACAGUUUUGUUUAUAUACUAUAUUGACAAGUUUGUGAUUAUUAGAAAUCAGCUGGUAGAAAUGCAUCCAUUUUAUUUCACCUCAUUCUGUACCAUUGAGUUAAUGAAAUAAAGGCUUUACUUGUAGUACAUACAUGAAGAAGACUUAAGAGAUGAUCCUUUCCCUGGGAUGAAAGAGAGUCACACAGCAAAACUCUUUAAAAAAUCACAUACAGUAUUUCCACAAUCUUCAAAUAGCCUCUAGUUCUCAGAAGAAAGAACAGCCCUUUUGGGCAGUAUCCCACUGAAAUGCUUUGAACCAAUACCAAAAAAGCAAGUGUGUGCCAGCAACUACGUGUACAAUCAACAAAGACUUUUUGUGUGAUGCCUAGCAAAUUACUUUAUUUCUAUUGGUUCAUUUCUGUCAGAGAAGAAAACAAUGAACUCUGCAUGUCAGCCUUACAAAUGGAGAUUUUAUUUUACUUUUUGUAUUCAGAAGAGGUACUAGAAAUGUACCACCAGUUCAGGCAAAAUUAGGGAAGAAAGCAAUGGGCAUUAAAGUAUUGCACUAUAAAUGGUUUAACCAUGCAAAUUAAAGACUGGAACACAGGCAACCCUUCAUUAACAGUAAAAAUACAUUACCUAUCUUGUUACUUUGUAUGGGUGCUAUCUAACUCUGGCCCAAAACACAGAGAAAUAAAGUUGAAACAAUA